AGGACGAACGCUGGCGGCGUGCUUAACACAUGCAAGUCGAGCGGAAAGGCCCUUCGGGGUACUCGAGCGGCGAACGGGUGAGUAACACGUGAGUAACCUGCCCCUAGCUCUGGGAUAGCUCCGGGAAACCGGGAUUAAUACCAGAUACGACCACUUUAGACAUCUGUCGUGGUGGAAAGGAUUCCGGCUAGGGAUGGGCUCGCGGCCUAUCAGCUUGUUGGUGGGGUAACGGCCUACCAAGGCGACGACGGGUAGCCGGCCUGAGAGGGCGACCGGCCACACUGGGACUGAGACACGGCCCAGACUCCUACGGGAGGCAGCAGUGGGGAAUAUUGCGCAAUGGGCGAAAGCCUGACGCAGCGACGCCGCGUGGGGGAUGAAGGCCUUCGGGUUGUAAACCCCGUUUCAGCAGGGACGAAGCGAAAGUGACGGUACCUGCAGAAGAAGCGCCGGCUAACUACGCGCCAGCAGCCGC
rnacentral:rRNA from 1 species